UUUUUAGUUUCGUAGAGACUGCGGAGGACAUUAUUGUGGGGGCUUCGGCCCUUUGCGUAAUGCAAACCCCUUCUAAUUUUUCGUAGCAUCUCUAAAGUUUCCUCGGCAGCUUAGUGCUAACAGCUUUGCCUGUCAAAGGACCCCUAAAGAAACCCUUGUAAUCUCGAUAAUGUUCAGAAAAACUCAAUUUUUUACAACUUUCAACAAUGGAUCUCUUGGCUCUGCCAUCGAUGAAGAACGCAGCGAAAUGCGAUAAGUAGUGUGAAUUGCAGAAUUCAGUGAAUCAUCGAAUCUUUGAACGCACAUUGCGCCCUUUGGUAUUCCUUAGGGCAUGCCCUGUUCGAGCGUCAUUUCAAAACCUCAAAGCACGGCUUAGUGGCAGGACCCUUAAAGAGGGACCUGCCCGUAGCCCAGCUUGGUGAGUGGGCGCCUGUCCCGCCGUGGUGCGCGGACUCGCCUCAAAAAUGCAGUUUGGCAGCCCCAAUACCUCCUCCAAUUCGGAUUCCAGAAGUAGAAUUUCGCAAGGCCGUGGAUGGUGGUGGCCUCUCCAAAGUAGGCAACCCCGUAAAGCGUCUCCUACGGAGCAAUUCGCCCUAAGAGCAGGGUGACCCAGAUUGACCUCGGAUCAGGUAGGGAUUACCCGCUGAACUUAAGCAUAUCCAAUAAGCGGAGGAAAAGAAACCCAACAGGGAUUGCCCUAGUAACGGCGAGUGAAGCGGCAACAGCUCAAAUUUGAAAUUCUGGCCCUUCGGGUCCGAGUUGUAAUUUGCAGAGGGCGCUUUGGCAUCGGCUGUGGUCUAAAGUUCCUUGGAAACAGGACGUCGCAGAGGGUGAGAAUCCCGUAUGUGGCCGCCAGCCUUUACCGUGUAAAGCCCCUUCGAAGAGUCGAGUUUGUUUGGGGAAUGGCAGCUCUAAUUGGGAAGGUAAAUUUCUUCUAAAGCUAAAUAUCUGCCAGAGACCGAUAGCGCACAAGUAGAGUGAUCGAAAGAUGAAAAGCACUUUGGAAAGAGAGUCAAAAAGCACGUGAAAUUGUUGAAAGGGAAGCGCUUGCAGUUAGACAUGCCUUUAGUUGCUCAGCCGGGCUUUGGGCCCGGUGCACUCUUCUAUUGGCAGGCCAGCAUCAGUUUGGGCGGUCGGAUAAAGGCCUAUUAAACGUGACUCCCCUCGGGGAGAGCUUAUAGGGUAGGCGUCAUGCGAUCAGCCUGGACUGAGGUCCGCGCAUCGCUAGGAUGGGUAUAAAUUUAGGGCCCUUUUUAAAAAAAAA
rnacentral:rRNA from 1 species